AUGAUGCGACACCAAGUUCCUAAUGAGACACGCCACUGGGGAUUGAGGAUUGCUUCUACCUCCCCAAGAAGUCAAGCAGGGUUUUGGGUGGAUCUUACAGGAGUCCUCCUUCCUUACCCCAGAGGCCAGCUGCACCAUCCUGUCCCCCAGGCCUUGGCCAAAGACGUCCCCUCAACUGGUUCUCCUUACCUACUCCCCUGCCUGGGGAAGUCCUACCCUACCUUCCAGCCUGCCCAUGGCCCCCUGCUCCAGGAAGCCUGCCUUGACUGUCCAGGUGGAAGUACUUGUGCCUCCCUCUUCCUGGAUGAAGCCCGGAGCUGUAGGAAGAGUGAGACCCAGCUGUGGAAACCUGGCUUCACUUCUCAUGUCAUCAAGCCUCCCCACGUGUGUCCUGCAUCCUAAGGCCUGUUGCCAACCGUGGUGAUAACAGAUGUCAAUGAGUGACUCCUGCUUGCGACCUGAGAUGAGGUACAACCCAGCCCCCACCCCACAUGCUGUUCUCUAGCAGGAGCACCCAUGCAGGCCGUAGGUGUGGAUGGAGUGGAUGAAGUCCAGGGGGUCAGGUAGCAAGUGCUGGGCUCUGGGGCGCAGGCUCCUCAUUCUUCCGCCUGACUCCUGGACCUUCCCCACGCGUGCUGGUCCCAUCUCAGCAGCCUCGCAGGGAGGUGACAUCCGUUAGACUGAAUAGACAGGAAAACCACAAACCAGGCCUUCCCUCGAUUCCUAGGAGAAGUCACAGGCCAGGGGUUGGCAGGAACCCAACGGGCUGAUCCAGCACAGCGUGAAUCAGAGAGUGUGGGCAUCACUGAGAGGUCCUCCAAAUCACAGAGCUCUAGAGACACGGGCAUUUCACGUCACUGGAUCCCGGCAUUAUGAAUCCUUGGAAUCACUGAAUCCGAGGUUUCAGGGAUCCCUUGGACAAAGACGUUCGGGGUAAGAGUAUAUCUGUGCACGUCCGGGCUCGGGGAAGAGGUGCAUCUGUCCCUGCCUCCUCCCCACAGAUGUCUCCCCAGCCAGCGCUCUGAUGCCUGGAAGUCCGUGGUAGUGUCCUGGCUUCCGGGCCGUCAGCCUCACGCACCGUCUGGUCCGUGCCGCCUGCCAUCCGGUGGCCUUCCCACUCACAGCCCCAGGGACUGCCCCUCCUGCUCAGAAACCUUGGCAGACCCAUUCUUGUCCAGAGGAUAAGUCCACAAGCCUGAGCUCAGCUGCUGAGGCCCUCGUGACCUCCAGCUUGCCCUGUCCUGUGGCCCUACGUCCCCAGACACACUUUGGGGAUCAGAAACGAACACUGAGCACACAGCCUGGUAGGUACUUACUGUUUGGUGUAGACUACACCCACGGCAUUUUCUCGUGGGGCGGCUCAGGGCUCCCGGGGA
rnacentral:lncRNA from 12 species